rnacentral:lncRNA from 1 species
UGUCCCUCUUAAUCCCCUCCUGUUCUUUAUGAAAGGUGAUCUUGCAAUCACCCAAUCAAACAUGGAUCAGGGAAUGAAAAAGACCUCUAGAAAAAAAGAGAAGAAAGCCAGCCCUUCUUCCAUUCAGCCACAAUGACAGACAAUAGUGGGGUACUGCUUUCUAACAAGAAUACUCCUAAGAUGCACCAGCUCUAGAGAUACUUGUCAAGGCUGCCAUGUUCACCUCGCAGUUUAGUAAGGGGAAGAAUGGAAAAUAGUUUAGAAUGUCUUAUGCUAUAAAAACAUCUUCGAUUAAUCAUGAUCUGUAACAACAGCACAUAAAGAUUGAUGGUGUUGCUCUCAUUUUCAGAUGAGAACAACAGACUCAGAAAGGUUAAGAAACUUAUCCGAGGUAACCAAACUGCAAGAAAAAAAGGCUUACAGAAGAGUUUGGAAAAAAGGCCUCAGUUUCAUCUGUUUUCAAUCUCUGUUUAAGGAGAUGCUAAGGAUGUGUUUCAUAAUAAGAAUCCAAGUGACAAGGAGUCAAGUCUGUAACAACUGUGUUUAGCUGUGAGAAAAAAUCCAGAAGAAAUGCCCAUUUCCCAUUCUUCAGGAAAUUGUAUGGGAGUACAGAAAACAGAUAAACAAUAUCAACUUAAGCAACGUAUGUUUGAGUAUAUAAUAAUAUUGGAAAAAUUAAGCUUGAAAUAAAAAGAAACAGA